rnacentral:rRNA from 1 species
AGGAUGAACGCUGGCGGCGUGCUUAACACAUGCAAGUCGAACGAUGAACCUCACUUGUGGGGGAUUAGUGGCGAACGGGUGAGUAACACGUGAGUAACCUGCCCUUAACUCUGGGAUAAGCCUUGGAAACGGGGUCUAAUACCGGAUAUUUACGAUUGAUCGCAUGGUUGGUUGUGGAAAGAUUUAUUGGUUUUGGAUGGACUCGCGGCCUAUCAGCUUGUUGGUGAGGUAAUGGCUUACCAAGGCGACGACGGGUAGCCGGCCUGAGAGGGUGACCGGCCACACUGGGACUGAGACACGGCCCAGACUCCUACGGGAGGCAGCAGUGGGGAAUAUUGCACAAUGGGCGCAAGCCUGAUGCAGCGACGCCGCGUGAGGGAUGGAGGCCUUCGGGUUGUAAACCUCUUUCAGUAGGGAACAAGGCCGGCUUUGGUUGGUUGAGGGUACCUGCAGAAGAAGCGCCGGCUAACUACGUGCCAGCAGCCGCGGU